AUUAUUGCAUUCAUUUUAUUUUAUUUCAAUAAUGAGAUAUAUUAGCAAGUCUGUGCUAAACAAUGACAACACCAACUCUAUUCAUCAUCUUUCCAACCACUAUUUUUCUGUGAUACAUGUUUGACCAUUUGGUGUAACCACCUUUACUUCUGGCUGGACCUUCAAAUCAUUGGAAGAGAGUUCAAAUAAAGUCAAUAAAUUUACAAAAUUUAAAAGUUUUACUUUGGCUUUAAAAUAUCUUAAAACUUUCAACUGGCAUAAGCAACAAUAUUUACAAUUCUUAGAGUCAUCAGGAGAAAGCUUUAUUCUUAAAGUUUGAUGCAGGAGGAAAUGACUUCUGUAAUAACUGUGCCCCAAAUAAAAGACGGACUGAUUUUAAGCCAACAAAAAAAUAACAGCCCUACUUUAAGUCCAGCCCAACACAGUGUGGGGGGGUAACUCUAGUAGAGAAAUCAAUACCCAAUAAAUUAACCACUGAGAAGAAAAAAAAAAACAAUUUUAAAGCUUUACAACAAAUUUCAAAACAUGUAAAAGUACAGAAUCAAUAUCUCUGCCAACUAUGAAACGACUAAAUUAUCUGCCACAUCUUGUACAUUACUGACUGAAUUCAACACUGACUUCUUAAAGCUAACAUUGGGACUAGACAAAAAAAAAAAAUUAACAAAUAGGCUCCUCCCCUUUUUCCCAGUGAAUAUACAUCACAUCAGUAAAAAGCAAUUUUAAAAUGAAUAUUUUGUAUAGAACAAAGUAUCACAUAUCUCCUAACACAGAACGUAUGGCACUGGGAACACAGACACCCACAAGUUCCAAAGACUUAAAAAUUACAGGUCAAUUUAUCAUUCAUUCAGAAACAUAUAUAUAUAUAUAUAUAUG